rnacentral:rRNA from 1 species
UACAGAGGUCCCAAGCGUUGUUCGGAUUCAUUGGGCGUAAAGAGCGUGUAGGCGGCCCGAUUAGUCUGCUGUGAAAGUCCAGGGCUCAACCCUGGAAUGCCGGUGGAUACUGUCGGGCUAGAGUCCGGAAGGGGCGAGUGGAAUUCCUGGUGUAGCGGUGAAAUGCGCAGAUAUCAGGAGGAACACCAAUGGCGAAGGCAGCUCGCUGGGACGUGACUGACGCUGAGACGCGAAAGCGUGGGGAGCAAACAGG